AUAUGAAUAAUUUUAUAUCCUGCUUCUUCACUUAACCUGCCAUUGUUCACAUUUUCCCAUAUAUUUUGAAAGUUUAUGACUUUCUAAAUUGCAGUAUUGUUGAUUUAUGAUAUUAUAUUAUUUUCAGGUGUAGCACACGGUGAUUCAAAAUUUUUAUAGAUUAUGCUCCACUUGCAGUUACUAUAAAAUAUUGGCUAUAUUCCCUGUGCUGUCCAAUAUAUCCUCAUAGCUUAUUUUAUACAUAGUAGUUUGUACCUCUUAACCCCGACCCCUAGCUUACCCUGCCCCCACUUUUGUAAAAUGCUCCUUUUAUUAAACUCCCCUAAAUACACAUUUGGCAUGAACACUCUCUUCCUGUUUCCUGCACUCUGAUAAAUACAGAUGGCAUUCAUGUGACUCAAGAUUUUCCAUGUGGGAUGAUUGCCUGUUUCAUCAAGUGAUGCCAUUAGAGGCUGAAUCUACCUGUGCAUUGCAUGGCCGUGAUUUCGCUACAACCAAGCUCUCCCUCAUGUGGGAAGAAAACACUACGCUCUAUGAAGUAAAUAUCAAGAUACACAUUAAGGAAAUCAAGGCUUCAAGAAAUUUAUCUGAAGUUCAGCAGCUGGGAGGUGGAGGAGAUGGCAUUGUCUGCUUCAUAGCCUGAGCUCAUGGGAACUUGAUGGGAGGUAUGACUAGCCCAAGGCCAUACAGGGGUGAUGUUAGGACUUGAACUUGAGUGCUUAGUUCUUUCCUCCAUGACCUGGAAACCUCCUAUACCUAGGUCUGCUUCUGGUGUUUGGGCACAUAGGCUAGUGGAAAGAUAUUUUGAAAGUAACUCAAGUGUAGAUAAAUUGAGCAAUAUGUUCCACUUCAUUUUAAAGUGACAUGGCUAUUAUCAACUUGUUUCAUUUCUGGGAACAAAGAAGGUUUUCAUUUAUAAGGCAGAAUCGUUAACAGAAGUAUUUCCCAUGUAUGACUGGAGUUGAUCCCUGCUGUAGCUUUAUUCUGCUUUUGACAUGUUUAUUAUUGUGAUAGUAAAAGUCAAGAAAUGCAGAAGCCUUGAAUGCAGACAGGCCAAAAUUAACUUCUAAUAUAGUCAGCUGAAAGAUACUGACCUCUGAGCCACUGUAGUCGUCAAAUGUAGAUAUUACCCGAGAAAGGAAACUUUGAAAGAUUUAAUGUCCUUAGAUGUCUCAUUGCAUUUUUUUCUGUGACCCAAUCUUGUUCCUCUGAAGUUCUUAUGUGUACAGAAGAGAACUCUUUAGAGCUUUUUGAUUAAAUACUCUUGAUAGAUGAGUAAUACUAUUUAUAUCAAACAGUUUAGUCUAUAACGGCUAUGUAGCGCUAUUGAAGGAAUAUAGUUGCCCAUAUUUUAAAAUUCAAACAUAAAUGGGGAAAUAUGGCUAAUUUUAAGCAAUGUUAAAUUUUUAAAGACUGAAAUUUAAGGUAUCAAGAAAAGACAAGUAAAUCGAAUAUACUUCAAUAUAAAAAAAGAAAAGAAAAAAUUGCUUGUUAUAAAAAGGCUAUAUAUUCUCAGGAAUAAAAGUAUAGGUGAAAUAAAAAACAGAGAAACUAAAACAUAAUGGCUUGAGAGUUUUAAAAUCAGAUUAAAAAUAGGGGAUAAUUACAGAUCAGGUUUUUGAACAGCAAUUUACUUCCCUGUCACUAGAUGGGGCUCACUAGUCGAGGUUAUUUUCUUUCCAGAUUUGCAUUUUGUGUCAGACAACAUAAAGAAUUCAAUUAGGAUUGGGGUUCAGCAUUUUAAAAGAUAAGUUAUUGGAAGGUAUUCAAUGGGAAUCCUAAUAAGAUUGACUUUUUUUGUUGACCACAAUAGUCUUAUUGAGCAAAGCUAGCUUUAUCCCAAUUUAACAUGAAAUAGGUCACUAUUAGAAAAGACAGCUUUAUUGUGUUUGUAUUCUGGAUUAACGGAUAAAAUAAAUAGUUCUUUUCUUCCCACAGGGGUUGAUGAGCCAGCUUUAUUCUAAAUGACUGAAGACUUCUGUUCUUUUCAACAAACACAGUCCUCCAAUUAGGAGCUGCAAAUAAGAUUAUAUGCCCUGAAUAAGUCUGAAAAGGUCCUUUUAUAAUUAGAAAGUUUGUGUGUGGGAAGUGGAAGCAGCAUUAAGUGUUCACUGUGGCUUUAUUAAGAAAGUGACAUGAAGAUUUCCCAAAUCCUCAUCUGAGUACUCUAAAAUGAUAAAAUAAAAAUCAUAGAAAACAGUACGUAUAUUCCAUUUCUUUUUUUUUUCCCC
rnacentral:lncRNA from 1 species